CCUACGGGAGACAGCAGUGAGGAAUAUUGGUCAAUGGACGAGAGUCUGAACCAGCCAAGUAGCGUGAAGGAUGACUGCCCUAUGGGUUGUAAACUUCUUUUAUAUGGGAAUAAACUGUUCCACGUGUGGGAUUUUGUAUGUACCCUAUUAGUAAGGAUCGGCUAACUCCGUGCCAGCAGGCGCGGUAAUACGGAGGAUCCGAGCGUUAUCCGGAUUUCUUGGGUUUAAAGGGAGCGUAGGUGGAUUGUUAAGUCAGUUGUGAAAGUUUGCGGCUCAACCGUAAAAUUGCAGUUGAAACUGGCAGUCUGGAGUACAGUAGAGGUGGGCGGAAUUCGUGGUGUAGCGGUGAAAUGCUUAGAUAUCACGAAGAACUCCGAUUGCGAAGGCAGCUCACUGGACUGCAACUGACACUGAGGCUCGAAAGUGUGGGUAUCAAACAGGAUUAGAUACCCUGGUAGUC
rnacentral:rRNA from 1 species